UCAAAGGUUUUCUUAGAAACCAUUCCUGAAGAUCAAGUGGAUUUUAU
rfam:Taeniopygia guttata chromosome 3, whole genome shotgun sequence.